rnacentral:rRNA from 1 species
GAUGAACGCUAGCUACAGGCUUAACACAUGCAAGUCGAGGGGCAGCAUGGUCUUAGCUUGCUAAGGCCGAUGGCGACCGGCGCACGGGUGAGUAACACGUAUCCAACCUGCCGUCUACUCUUGGACAGCCUUCUGAAAGGAAGAUUAAUACAAGAUGGCAUCAUGAGUCCGCAUGUUCACAUGAUUAAAGGUAUUCCGGUAGACGAUGGGGAUGCGUUCCAUUAGAUAGUAGGCGGGGUAACGGCCCACCUAGUCUUCGAUGGAUAGGGGUUCUGAGAGGAAGGUCCCCCACAUUGGAACUGAGACACGGUCCAAACUCCUACGGGAGACAGCAGUGAGGAAUAUUGGUCAAUGGGCGAGAGCCUGAACCAGCCAAGUAGCGUGAAGGAUGACUGCCCUAUGGGUUGUAAACUUCUUUUAUAAAGGAAUAAAGUCGGGUAGGGAUACCCGUUUGCAUGUACUUUAUGAAUAAGGAUCGGCUAACUCCGUG